CCCUCUUGUUCCUUUGCAAGAUAAGCCAUUCCCAACUGGAUAUUAACUCUUCCUGGAAAUGCAGCGUCAAAAACAAUGGCAAUACACUAUCAAGAUCCAGCACUUCCCUUAAGAAACUGUGAAGCACCAAGGAGAGCUUUGUUGCAGAAGAAACAACGCAGACAUAUAAUGCAACAAGACAUGAACAUUGACGGGAACAGCCCAUGGCUUCGAUGUUAGUUGCAGAUGCACAGAGAUAGUGCUGAGGCCACCUCAGAGGGUCCUGGCGCUGCUUUGCUGAGGCAGAGACCGGUGUGUGAAGCACCAGAGUUUUGUAGCCCUGUGUGGCCACAGAGGUUCAUUUCCCUGGCAGAGCUGCCCACGAGAUGAAAUGAGGCUGCACGUUAUUGAUUCCCACGAGGAGGGCAAUACAAGUCAGGGAGACGAGAAGCACUAUGGAAAAG
ensembl:lncRNA